rnacentral:rRNA from 1 species
GACGAACGCUGGCGGCGUGCUUAACACAUGCAAGUCGAACGGAAAGGCCCUGCUUUUGUGGGGUGCUCGAGUGGCGAACGGGUGAGUAACACGUGAGUAACCUGCCCUUGACUUUGGGAUAACUUCAGGAAACUGGGGCUAAUACCGGAUAGGAGCUCCUGCUGCAUGGUGGGGGUUGGAAAGUUUCGGCGGUUGGGGAUGGACUCGCGGCUUAUCAGCUUGUUGGUGGGGUAGUGGCUUACCAAGGCUUUGACCGAUAGCCGGCCUGAGAGGGUGACCGGCAACAUGGGGACUGAGAGACGGCCCAGACUCCUACGGGAGGCAGCAGUGGGGAAUAUUGCACAAUGGGCGGAAGCCUGAUGCAGCAACGCCGCGUGCGGGAUGAGGGCCUUCGGGUUGUAAACCGCUUUCGCCUGUGACGAAGCGGGAGUGACGGUAAUGGGUAAAGAAGCAACGGCUAACUACGUG